rnacentral:misc_RNA from 1 species
GAAACGCGAAAGGUAAUGCGAAUUGCAGAAUCAGUGAGUCAUCGAAUCUUUGAACGCACAUUGCGCCUCUCGGUAUUCCGGGAGGCACGCCUGUUCGAGCGCCAUUACACACCCCAAGCCUGGCUUGAUGUUGGACGUUGUCUGUGAAAGGACAGGUCUGGAACGCGUGGGCGCCGCCGCCGGACCACGAGCGUAGCAAGACGCAAGUCAUCGCUCUGUGGACUCUGGUGGACGGUGGCCUUGAUGCUGGGUAACACCGACAUCGAAACACACUUACAAAGUUUGGCCUCGGAUCAGGCGGGGAUACCCGCUGAACUUAA